AAUCAUGUGGGCUUUGCCCGCGCAGGUUCGAAUCCUGCCGUUCACGUUUUUAUUUUGAGUGUUGGUAAGUUUUUAUAAUUACUUAUUGUGUUUUAUGGAUCGUCUUUGAAUUUGAACGGUUUUUCAUCAUGUUACCGUUUUCAGUAAACUUUAGUAUUGAUAAAAAACCUCUAAAAAAAACAAAACAGCAUGAAAGAUAUGAAGUCAACUUUCUUUCUACUCCUCUUCUUGAUAAGUUUAAAUUUGAUUAAAAAGCUUUUCUUGAAUCAUCAACAUGCAUAAAGUGUUAUGAUACAAAACCGACCUUAGCUCAGUUGGUAGAGCGGAGGACUGUAGUUGACGCAGAUUAUCCUUAGGUCAUUGGUUCGAAUCCGCUAGGUCGGAUCAUAAAAGUUUAAAGAU
rnacentral:tRNA from 1 species